UCCUUCUAGUAUACCAAAUACUACAUUCACCGAAUUCCAAGAAGCCGGGAGGUUCAGCAGUCCUGGCCCUCCACCGUUUUCACCACCUUGCACUCCAUGUGGCUCUCCUUUCCCCUAAUUCACAGGGUGAAGCCAGAUUUGGUGUUGUGUAACGGACCAGGAACAUGUGUUCCUAUCUGUGUAUCUGCCCUUCUCCUUGGGAUACUAGGAAUAAAGAAAGUGAUCAUUGUCUACGUUGAAAGCAUCUGCCGUGUAGAAACGUUAUCCAUGUCCGGAAAGAUUCUGUUUCAUCUCUCAGAUUACUUCAUUGUUCAGUGGCCGGCUCUGAAAGAAAAGUAUCCCAAAUCGGUGUACCUUGGGCGAAUUGUUUGACAAAUGGCAACUGACUUCUUUAGAAUUUUGCAGUUAACAGUAGUAUGUACUCAAAUUGGGGGGAAAAAAACCCUACAUGUUUCUUGUAAAGGCGUCUGACAGUCCUGAGAAUUAUUGAUGGUAAGGAAUAAAAAAUGUACAGAUGACUCAGUGAAGAAACUGAGGCUUCUCUUAUGAAACAAACAUUGAUAAACGUAACUACUAAAUGUUUAUGCCUCUGUAAACCAAAUUUCUUUUCUAGAUAAAAAUAUGUAUUACUACC
rnacentral:lncRNA from 1 species